rnacentral:rRNA from 1 species
AUUGAACGCUGGCGGCAGGCCUAACACAUGCAAGUCGAGCGGAUGAAGGGAGCUUGCUCCUGGAUUCAGCGGCGGACGGGUGAGUAAUUCCUAGGAAUCUGCCUGGUAGUGGGGAUGACGGCCAGAAACUGGGGCUAAUACCGCAAACGUCCUGUAGGAGAAAGGGGGGGAACCUCGGACCCCACGCUAUCAGAUGAACCUAGGUCGGAUUAGCUAGUUGGUGGGGUAAAGGCCUACCAAGGCGACGAUCCGUAACUGGUCUGAGAGGAUGAUCAGUCACACUGGAACUGAGACACGGUCCAGACUCCUACGGGAGGCAGCAGUGGGGAAUAUUGGACAAUGGGCGAAAGCCUGAUCCAGCCAUGCCGCGUGUGUGAAGAAGGUCUUCGGAUUGUAAAGCACUUUAAGUUGGGAGGAAGGGCAGUAAGUUAAUACCUUGCUGUUUUGACGUUACCAAAAGAAUAAGCACCGGCUAACUUCGUG